GAUGAACGCUGGCGGCGUGCCUAAUACAUGCAAGUCGAGCGAACGGUCGAGAAGCUUGCUUUUCUGAUGUUAGCGGCGGACGGGUGAGUAACACGUGGAUAACCUACCUACAAGACUGGGAUAACUUCGGGAAACCGGAGCUAAUACCGGAUAAUAUCUUGAUUCGCAUGGAUCAAAAGUGAAAGACGGUCCUGCUGUCCCUUAUCGAUGGAUCCGCGCUGCAUUAGCUAGUUGGUAAGGUAACGGCUUACCAAGGCAACGAUGCAUAACCGACUGGAGAGGUGGACGGCCCACACUGGAACUAGGACACGGUCCAGCCUCCAACGGGAGCAGGCAGUAGGGAAUCUUCCGCAUUGGCCGAAAGCCGGACGGAGCAAGGCGGCGGGGGGGAUGAGGGUCUUCGGAUGUUAAGACUCUGUGAUUAGGAAGAAACAGUUGUGUAAGAAACUGGGCACAUCUUGACGGUACCUAAUCAGAAAGCCACGGCUAACUACGUG
rnacentral:rRNA from 1 species